AAUCCCUAUUUCUUACACUUCUAUCUAAAUUUCGGCAUAGAGCGUUAAGACAUUCUAGAAAGAUACUUCAGUUUAUUUUAAUACGUUCUGUGUUAGUCUGAUUUUUGGAUACUUUCUGUUUAGGUCGUCAGGGGUGUAUAUGCCCCACGUUUUACGAUUAGUUUUACUUUUAACAUAUGCCUUACAAUCUGUACAAUAAUACAGACCAUAAUUAUCAAGAAAAGGGUGUAAUUAAGUUUCAAAGAAUUAUUUUAAUAAACACGUGGUUAAACAUUACUUUACUAUACGAAUUGUAUCAAUGAGAAUUUCAAAUGCUUGAACGGAAAGUUCAGGGUGGGGCGCAUACGUCCCACACGGCAGGGAACGAGUCAAUAAAAUUAAGUUUCCUGUUACCAGCGGUUGUUAAUUUUUUCUACGUGCAGGCACUAUAUUAAAUGACAUGAUAGGGAAAAAUCGUAGUUUCCAAAGAAUUACAAAUCGACAUCGGAAAAGAAGCCACAGUGAGUGAUUAUUGAUGAAAUACUGAAUCGUUUCAAAUCUGAAUAAAUAAAGAAAACUUCAAACUCUAUGCGACAGUUCUUCUGUCGCCAUAGGUUUUUUAUGGAUUGGAAAAUACUGCAGAUUAGGAAUCGGUUGAAGAGUUUAUUUUCUUCCUUUCUAUAUAAUUCAUAUAGAGAGAAUAGUUCUUUUUGACGUCUUUUCGUAAAAAUCGAUCAGUUUAUAUAUAUUACUUUGAAUCGAAGAUCGUUCGAUCAGGAAGAAACGAACAUGGAAAAGAGAGAAUGAAAAAGAGAAGUCGAAAAAGUGAAAGAGAGUCAAGGUGAUGGAAAAUAUAUACAAGCCAAAAAAGAAGAUAGGAUUUUGUUCUAUACGGCCUUUGUGGAAAAAAUAAAAAGUUAAAGAAGGAGAUAGGAAUUGGAUGAGCAGACAUAACAGCCUCUCCCUUGGAAUGAAACAUAGUGAAUUUGUAGAGAUUAAAGGAUGUUUCAUCAAACUUUGAUAGAGGUAAUUGUCUCAUCCGUCGUUUAUUGAUUUUAUGGAUAUAACAAUUUGUUUUGGUAAUUAAAAUUUGGAUCAAUAAGUGGUAGGAUUGGCGCAGGUUUGAAAAUCUUGUUACAAGUAUUUUAAAAUUACAAAAGGACUAGAUUUGGGAAGUUACACAGUUUGAUAGGAUAUAUAUGUUAAGUGUAACAUAUGUGUAAGUUUGAUUUAGGGUUUGUGUUCUUUAAUUUCUUAAUUCCUUCAGCUAAUUUGUCAGCUGUUACUUAGGGUACUUCAAAUUUGUUGUAGAUUCUCAAACUAUUAUAGAUAGACUUAAAAAGAGAAGAUAGACUAAACAUCAUCAAUGGUACUUAUACAUUUAAGAUUUAGUGCGAAUGUUUCUUCUUUUUAGAUUUGUGAGAAACAGCCUACGGUUGUAGUAUAUAGUUAGAGUGUAUGGUUGCAGUGUAUGGUUGGAGUGUAUGGUAGCAGUGUAUGUGAAUUUUGGUUUACCUGUACCAUAAUAUAACUAAUUAUUACUGCUCUCUAAUUUAAUAAAUGCAGUUACAUUUAAAAUUUUAAUGUUUUCAAUAGAGCAAGUUAGUUCUUCCACUUAUCUGAUAGGUUAGAGCUAGCUUUUCAAACAGGGAUUGUGUAAAAUGAUAUGUGUAAAAAAUACCGAAACGUUCCUUUUUCAUAUGCAUCUGUUCUUGCAGUGUUAUGUUAUGUUUUAACAUAGGAUUCAACCACUAAAAUUCUCAUGGUUUUUUCUAAAUUUACAAGUACAUGCGUAUAGAAUAUAACUUACCAUUAAAUUCUACGGAUGUAUAUUGUACAUACAAGAUGGCAAUUAUGUAUAAAUAAGAUGAGAUCUCAAAUAUAUGAGUGAUAUAAAGCACUGAUAUAUAUCCUUUUUGAGACCUUGAAAUAUAUAUUCUAUUUUUGCAUUAAAAGAGUUAAAGGAUGUUAUAGAUAGGAGAAAAACAGUAGCAAAUUAAUGUAAAGAUAAUACGAAAAUAAAUCAAUGGAAGAUAAAAGAUGCAAGAGCAAAACAUUACAUAAUGAGAACAAUAUACAAAACAAUGAGGCCAGAAGUUUUAAUUCGUGAGACAUAAACAGAAAUGUAUAAAAAAUUAAAAAUUAUGUAUAAGAAAUAAAAUUCAAGAAAAAGUACUGUUAUUUUAAGAACUAUACAAGUAUAAAUAUAACAAGAGCAAAGACAUUAAGGGGGGCUUUAAUUCUUUGGAACUGACAAACUUUUUCUUUAGGUAUAAUUGGUCUAUGACCGGCGGUAUAGAGAUUCAAAAAUAAAUGUUGUGUUUAUCUACUUAUCUAUUAGGUCGGUGCGUAUGAAAUGUCGGAUUUUCUUUAAAUGUGAACGUUUGUCUCCCUGUUUUUGUUAUGUUUUUGUUUUUGAUAUAACCUGGUUUAUAGUCGUACUGUCCAUUGCUAGAGUCACAUUUUAGCAAAGAAAAUUUUCUCAAAAGUGUUUCCUUUUGUUAUUUGCUUUGAAUUUUGCACCGAUAUGAAUUCAACCGAUAUUCGUAUAAUUUUCUUAUAUGAGUAUAAACUUGGUAAUAAUGAUGCAAAAGCUGCACGCAAUAUAAACCAGGCGUUUGGGGAGAAUACUGUGAACGAUCGAAAAGUGCAGCGUUUUUUUUAUUUAUCAAGUAAAUCAAUUCUUUGAUCUAACGUCUUACAUAUUGUUUAUAUAUACACAUAUAAGUAUAUAUAUAUAUAUAUAUAUAUAUAUAUAUAUGUAUUCCAAAUUUUUUUCAAAUUUUCUUUUCGGAAGAACUCAAAGAAUUAUAUUUCGGGGCAAAUGAUAAUAUUUGAAGAUAUAUCAUCAAAAUCGAUAGGAAAGUCCGGACAGACAAUAAUAACAUUUCUUAAGCUAUAUCUUGGAAAAGGUUAUACAUUCAUGACCGAUAAUUGAUACAACAGUCCCAGUUUAUUCCUCGAGUCACAUAAAAAUUUAACCAACGUAUAUGAAACGAUAAGAAAAAAAAAGUUGGGUAUACCGAAAUAGAAUAAAAAGAUAAAAAAGAAUAUAUUUCGUUCAACAAAAAGAAUAUUAGCGUUGAAAUGGAUGAACAAAAGGGAAGUGUGGACGAUUUUCAUUUAUCAUGAACUACCCAAUAUGAUUGAUACAAACAAGAUACAUUACUUAAUAAAAUAAAAAAUAAUCAAACCACUAUGUAUAAUUGAUUAUAAUAAUACAACGGGAGCGAUUGGCAAAGUUGAUCAGAUUUUAUAUAAUCUGUAUUCUACUAGAAAAAGUUUAAAAUGAUACAAGAAAUUCUGUUUUUAUUUAUUUGAUUUUGCUGUAUAAUACAUUUUUAUAAUACAUUUUUGUGUAUAAUACAUUUGUUUUAUAUAACUAUGUAACUGGAUGAAAGAAACGUAUCUUUCAGUAAAUUAAAAUGAACAAGUUUUACAAAAAUAUAGUUCAGGUAGAACAUACAAAUGCAAAUCAAAAGGUAAAAGUACUGACAAUGAGCCUUUUCGUUUGAUACAAAAGCAUUUUCCGUCUACAUACGUAACUCCGUAAAAGACGGAGUUUCUCUUUACACUUCGACCAGUGCACAUCGGCUCUUUCUCUUUCUACACGCGUAAACUUAUAAAUUAAUAAUUUCGUUCUCAUAGCGUACAUUAACAACCUCUUGUAUUAUCUCGGCGCGGUGAGACAGUAAGCGUACAUCGUAUGGGUGCUGGCUCAGACAUGCCACCAAUAAAGUUAAAAAUCUCUAAGUUGGGAGACACCUGCUCUAUACGGAACAGAUCAAAUAAUGAAGUAGAGGAUAUCGAAAUGUCCACUAAUGCUUCAAUUUACCGAGCUGAGUCCCUAUCUACUAGCAAAAAAAGAUAAUCUAAUAAAAUCGCAGAUAUGACAAAUUCACGCACGUUCCAUCAAUCUGAAAUGUGGCUACAAGAUAUACCUACACACAACUCAUACAGUAUCUUCUCUGAAACCGAUGCUACACCGAUAGAUAAUACCAAAAUAAAUGAAGACACCAAACAAAUGAAGAUACCAAAACAAAUGAAGACACCAAAAUAAAUGAAGACACCAAACAAAUGAAGACACCAAAACAAAUGAAGGAAACAAAUCUCCUUCUAUUUACACUCAAGCUUAAGUCAUUGAACUGCUGAUAGAAUUACUCGUAUAACAAGCAUAAUAAUUUUACUUUAAAGUAAAAACUCACAGAUAAGCAGACAAAAGUCCAGUUAUCAUCCUCGGACCACUAUAGAAAAGUAAUAAACGAGUUAAAAAGUAAAGACGCAAAUUUUCACAUCUAUCAACUUAAAGGUGAAAGACAUUACAAGGUAAUUCUAUCGGAAUUCAUCCAAAAACAAAUUUACAGAAAAUAAUGAUGAAUUUAAGCAACACAAACACGUUAUUAGAUCGAUUAAUAAUAUAGUCAAAUAUAAUACUAAACACCCACUACCUCUAUUUGCUAUUGAACUUGAACCAAAUAAUAAUAACAAGGACAUAUACAGCAUAGAAAAACUACUCAACACAUUAAUUAAAUUCAAACCGCCAAGACCGAAACGCGACAUACCUCAAUGCCAUUGCUGCCAAACCUACGGUCAUACGAAAAAUUACUGCAAUAGGUUAGCUGCUUGUGUUAAAUGUGCAGGCAAUCACUUAACUACAUUUUGCCCAUAACAGGGUAAACUAGUAAACGUAAAGUGCUUUAAUUACCAAAGUAAUUAUCCAGCAAGUUAUAAAGACGAUUUGCAACAAAAACAUCAAAUAACCAUCAUGUUAGACCUCUUAAUUAAAUUCUUGAAUACCUACAAAUAAUGGAUGGAUCAAUCAGAAUAGUUGUUUGGAACAGCAACGGGUUACAACAAAGAAUUCAAAAACUCAAAAUUUUCAUCUACACACAUAAUAUUGAUAUUAUGGCAAUUUUGGAAACUCAUCUUAGAGUUAAAAAUUAUAUAAAAAUACUACACUACAGCAUAUAUGAUACUAAGUAUCGGGAAAAGGCAUACGAGGGUUCUGUGAUUAUCAUUAAAAAUAAUAUUAAACACUAUUUAUAUGCCAAUACUUCACUUGACUAUCUACAAGCAACAACAAUUACACUAGAAAACAUAACCGGAGAAACACAAAUAUCGGCUUUAUAUUCACUGCCAAAACAUAAAAUUACUCAAGAGCAAUAUUCAAACUUCUUUAAAAGUCUAGGAAACAAAUUUAUAGCAGUAGGAGAUUACAAUGCUAAGCACAAAUAUUGGGGAUCAAAAAAAACUUCAUCUAGAGGUAAAACACUGCUCGAAAUCACAUAGAAAUUAUCAUUAACACCACAAAGGGGGGAACACCACCUAUUGGCCAGCAGCAUCAAACAAAUCACCAGAUCUUCUAGAUUUCGCCAUAACUAAAGGACUGAACAAAACGCACUUCAAAUUAAUCUCAAGCACAGAACUGAGCUUUGAUCAUACACCUAUACUGUUAGAAUUUCUAUAAAAAUUAAUCCACAUAGAAGCUACACCCAAAUUAUAUAAUAAAAAUACGGACUGGGAUAAAUUUAUGUCAACUAUUGACGAAAAACUAAAUUGAAAAAACAUCAGAACACAUCAAGAAUGCCGUGGACUAUUUAACAAAAAUAAUUCGAGUCAGCAUGGUUAUCUACUUCUAAUAUACAAGAAAAUAAAACGAGCUAUUCAUAUCCAGCCUAUGUUUUCCAGAAAAUUAAACAAAAAAGAAAAGCUAAAUACAAAUGGCAAAGGCAUAAAACAGAAGAAAAUGAAAGGCAGUUAAAUGCACUCACAAGAGAGGUUAAAAUAAUGAUAAAAGAAUACUGUAAUUCCGAGUUUAGCAAAUAUCUCUUAAACCUUACGCCAAAUGAAGAUACUAGAUACUACUAAUAAAACUAUUUACUUUGGAAGGCAAUAAAAAAAUUAAAAAGACCAAUAAUGCAGACUCCAGCAUUGCGAAAACCAGACGGAUCUUGGGCAAAGACGUUCACGGAACAAGCCAAGAUAUUUGCAAACCACUUAUAUCAAACUUUUCAGCCAAAUAAUAUCGCUACGACAAUAAAGGCUACAACUGUAUGCGAUAGUACUGAAAGUAAAGAUCAAAACAAUUUGAUAUACAAGAUUACAAAAAAGAAAUAAAGCAAUUGAUAAAUACAAUAAGUAAAUUUAUAGAUAAAUACAAAAAGUAAAUACUAAAAAAUCUCCAGGCUUUGAUCUCAUUAGUGGGAAAGUAAUUAAAGAACUCCCAGAAAGAGCCAUCAGAAUGAUUACCAUAAUAUUUAACGCCAUACUUAGACUUCACUACUUCCCUGAAACUGACAGAAAUAAUAAUGCUGCCUAAGCCGAAUAAAAAUAUUCAUGAACCAUCCUCUUACAGACCUAUUUCUUUAUUACCGAUUCUAUCCAAACUUUUAGAAAAAGUAAUAUUAGCUAGAAUUAAAAAAAUAAUUAAUAAAAAACGAUUAAUAUCAGAUCAACAAUUUGGCUUUAGAGAGAAACAUGCUACAACUGAACAGGUUUAUAGAUUAAUUAACCAAAUAACAACUAUGGAAAACAAGAAAUACUGUACAUGUCUAUUCUUAGAUGUAGAAAAAGCUUUUGACAAGGUAUGGCAUGAUAGUACCAAUUUAUCUAUUACUUAAAUCAUACCUAAACAAUAGAACCUUUUACGUUAAAGUUAAAGACUCACACUCAACUGUACACGUAAUAUUUGCUGGUGUACCAUAAGGAAGUGUACUGGAUCCGGACCUCUAUACGCUCUACACUGCGGAUAUCUCCACAACGCAAGAUACUAUAUUAAGUACAUUCGCCGACGACAUUGCAAUUUUAACUACACACGAAGAUCUACAAGAAGCAGCUAUAAUCUUGCAAAAUCACAUAAAAUAGCUUGAAAAAUGGCUGAUAGAUCGAAAAAUUAAAAUCAACUACAAUAAGUGCAAUCACAUUACAUUCACUCUUCGCAAAGCCAAAGUACCAACAAUCAUUAUACACAAUAAUGAAAUACCCCAAACUAAAUUAAUUAAAUAUCUGGGUUUGCAUCUUGACUCUAAACUAACCUGGAAACAACGCAUUCAUAAAAAAAUACUACAAAUUAAAUUUAGAAGAAAAGACAUUUAUUGGUUAACAGGUCGAAAAUCUAAACUAAGUAUAGAAAAUAAGUUACUAAUAUAAAAAAUAAUAAUAAAGCCUAUUUAGAUGUACGGCAUCCAGUUAUGGUGUCCGGCAGCUAAAAGCCAUAUCUCUAAAAUGGAAGCUAUGCAAUCAAUAAUAAUCCGCACAUUUGUGGACGCGCCAUGAUAUGUCAAAAAUGAGGACAUACAUAAAGAUUUACAAAUCCCAGCAGUACCAAAGGAUACAGUGGAUGUCUGACAAAUACAAAUCAAGGACCCUAAACCACCCUAACCCGCUUGCCAACACUCUCUACAACAAUACAGCAAAGAGACUUAAAAAAAAAGGCCUCAAGAUCUAGUUACGCAAGUCUGAAACAACAGUAUAUUAUAAUAGUGCUAUACUCAAUUGAGUAAAACAACUCCCUGAAUGUCUCACGUGACAAAUUACGGGGAAGUUAUAAAAAAAACUGGAAAGUUAUAAAAAAAAAAAAAAAAAAAAAAAAAAAAAAACGUAAAAGAUGCAGCAAAUCGAAAAAA